rnacentral:misc_RNA from 1 species
UCCAUGCAUGCAAGAGGAUAAAUGAGGGGGAACUAUUUGUAGCAAAAUCAAGCCAGCAAUUAAAUAAAAUGCAGAGAUGCAAUAUACUACAAGCAACAGAAAAACUAACUGCUAAUUUCCCUAUCCAUUUUCAUUCUCUUUGCACUUUGCACCUCUGAUAUGCUACUGCUUCGUUGCUGUGAAGAUGCAUCAUGCUGGUAUGCACAAUUGGCUCCAUGCCGGCAUCCUCUCGAACUGUUAAAAUAAAUACAAGGCUUCAUAAUCUUGGG